rnacentral:rRNA from 1 species
AGUAGCCGCGGUAAUUCCAGCUCCAAUAGCGUAUAUUAAAGUUGUUGCAGUUAAAAAGCUCGUAGUUGAACUUCGGGAUCAAUUGAUAUGGUCAUGCCUUGGUAUGUACUGUUCAUAUUGGUUCUCACCUUCUAAUGAACCAUAAUGUCAUUUAUUUGAUGUUAUGGGGAAUUAGGACUGUUACCUUGAAAAAAUUAGAGUGUUUAAAGCAGGCUCACGCUUGAAUACAUUAGCAUGGAAUAAUGAAAUAGGACAUCGCAUUCUAUUUUGUUGGUUUCUAGGAUCGAUGUAAUGAUUAAUAGGGAUAGUUGGGGGCAUUAGUAUUCAAUUGUCAGAGGUGAAAUUCUUGGAUUUAUUGAAGACUAACUACUGCGAAAGCAUUUGCCAAGGAUGUUUUCAUUAAUCAAGAACGAAAGUUAGGGGAUCGAAGACGAUCAGAUACCGUCGUAGUCUUAACCAUAAACUAUGCCGACUAGGGAUCGGGAUGAUGUUGAUUUUUU